GGAGCCUGGGCAGGCUUCUGUUUGCUUUCCGGCUGCCAGGAGUGAAUAGCUUUCCCCCACCAUGCCCUUCCUCCAAGCUUCCGCAUUGCCGCCAGCCCCGAAGCCACGGGGCCAGCUGACCAAAGCUGGGAACCUCUGAAACCACAGGCCCGAAGCAAACCCCUCCUCUCUCCCACUGACUACAGCAGGUGCCGUCCGAGUGACAGAGACAAAUGCGGCAGCGGGAAGAGCAGGGAAGGAAUGGCAGCGUGGGAAGAUGAACACACAACCCAGUGCGAGCUUCAGCUGGUCCAAGUCUACAGAGCCGGCUGAGAGUAGGGAGGCUGCUCCAAUGUCACUGUCCACUUGGCUCCAUCUAAAGCCACCGACGACCCCAAACUGUGAAUCGGAUCCGAGUCCUGCUCAGUCGUUACCAAAGAGGCGUCCUCCUGCAGGAGAUGGGAACUAAGACAAAGACCCACUCCUGGGCAAUGCGCAGAGG